CAUGAUAGGAAGCCAAGUUCAGCUUUGAAAGUGAGACAAGUCAUUCAGGAGGAACAGUGUUUAGAACCCUCAUUCAUGAAGAUGGACCUCACAACUUUUCAAUCAUUUGGUUUGGGUUGGCAUCCUUGUUUAUGGUGUCUAAUGACAAAUAAAUCUUGUGUUUUAUCUUGAGAGGAAUUAUAGGUGUUCACAUAGAUGAGGAGGAACUCAAAUUGGACACAAAGUCCAUGCAAAGUCCAUAAUGGAGGAAUUAUAGGUGUUCACAUUUUUAUGAGGACUUGUCUUAUUUUGCAGCAAUGUCGAUAAUGGAGGCUCCUAUAGAAUUCUGAAAACUUGCCUUGUCUUACUAUAUUACCUUUUCUUGUUUUGGCUAAAUUGUAAUUCUUUAACUUGCAAAGUCCACCAUUCACACUAUGCAAUGUGACAGACUUAGACUAGUCAAUCCAUAUAUUCACAAAUCUAAAAACACUUUAGU